rnacentral:rRNA from 1 species
UACGUAGGCAGCAAGCGUUGUUCGGAGUUACUGGGCGUAAAGAGUGUGUAGGCGGUGCUCUAAGUUCGGUGUGAAAUCUCCCGGCUCAACUGGGAGGGUGCGCCGAAAACUGGGGGUGCUGGAGCGCGGGAGAGGAAAGCGGAAUUCCUGGUGUAGCGGUGAAAUGCGUAGAUAUCGGGAGGAACACCUGUGGCGAAAGCGGCUCACUGGACCAUAACUGACGCUGAUGCGCGAAAGCUAGGGGAGCAAACAGG